CCUGAAACCGUGUGCCUACAAGUAGUUAGAGCCCGUUAAUGGGUGAUAGCGUGCCUUUUGUAGAAUGAACCGGCGAGUUACGAUUUGUUGCAAGGUUAAGCGGAAAAAGCGGAGCCGUAGCGAAAGCGAGUCUGAAUAGGGCGCAUAAGUAACAGGUCGUAGACCCGAAACCAGGUGAUCUACCCAUGUCCAGGAUGAAGGUAAGGUAAUACUUACUGGAGGUCCGAACCCACGCACGUUGAAAAGUGCGGGGAUGAGGUGUGGGUAGCGGAGAAAUUCCAAUCGAACUUGGAGAUAGCUGGUUCUCUCCGAAAUAGCUUUAGGGCUAGCC
rnacentral:rRNA from 1 species